rnacentral:rRNA from 1 species
AUUGCUGGAACGCGCUUCGGCGCACCCAGAAACCCUUUGUGAACUUAUACCUUACUGUUGCCUCGGCGCAGGCCGGCCUCACUGAGGCCCCUCGGAAACGAGGAGCAGCCCGCCGGCGGCCAACCAAACUCUUGUUUCUUAGUGAAUCUCUGAGUAAAAAACAUAAAUGAAUCAAAACUUUCAACAACGGAUCUCUUGGUUCUGGCAUCGAUGAAGAACGCAGCGAAAUGCGAUAAGUAAUGUGAAUUGCAGAAUUCAGUGAAUCAUCGAAUCUUUGAACGCACAUUGCGCCCUCUGGUAUUCCGGAGGGCAUGCCUGUUCGAGCGUCAUUUCAACCCUCAAGCACUGCUUGGUGUUGGGGCACCGCCUGUGAAAGGGCGGGCCCUGAAAUCUAGUGGCGAGCUCGCCAGGACCCCGAGCGUAGUAAUUAUAUUUCGUUCUGGAAGGCCCUGGCGGUGCCCUGCCGUUAAACCCCCAACUUCUGAAAAUUUGACCUCGGAUCAGGUAGGAAUACCCGCUGAACUUAAGCAU